CCUACGGGUGGCAGCAGUGAGGAAUAUUGGUCAAUGGACGGAAGUCUGAACCAGCCAUGCCGCGUGCAGGAAGACGGCUCUAUGAAUUGUAAACUGCUUUUGUACAAGGGUAAACCUGAAUACGCGUAUUCAGCUGAAAGUACUUUACGAAUCAGGAUCGGCUAACUCCGUGCCAGCAGCCGCGGUAAUACGGAGGAUCCAAGCGUUAUCCGGAUUUCUUGGGUUUAAAGGGUGCGUAGGCGGAGUGAUAAGUUAGAGGUGAAAUGUCCGGGCUUAACUCAGGAACUGCAUCUAAUACUGGUGAUCUAGAGAGUAGGUGCGGUAGGCGGAAUGUAUGGUGUAGCGGUGAAAUGCUUAGAGAGCAUACAGAACACCGAUUGCGAAGGCAGCUUACCAGUCUAUAUCUGACGUUGAGGCACGAAAGCGUGGGGAGCAAACAGGAUUAGAUACCCCAGUAGUC
rnacentral:rRNA from 1 species